rnacentral:rRNA from 1 species
AUUGAACGCUGGCGGCAUGCCUUACACAUGCAAGUCGAACGGUAACGCGGGGCAACCUGGCGACGAGUGGCGAACGGGUGAGUAAAGCAUCGGAACGUGCCCAGUAGUGGGGGAUAGCCCGGCGAAAGCCGGAUUAAUACCGCAUACGACCUAUGGGUGAAAGGGGGGGAUCGCAAGACCUCUCGCCAUUGGAGCGGCCGAUGUCAGAUUAGGUAGUUGGUGGGGUAAAGGCCUACCAAGCCGACGAUCUGUAGCUGGUCUGAGAGGGCGACCAGCCACACUGGGACUGAGACACGGCCCAGACUCCUACGGGAGGCAGCAGUGGGGAAUUUUGGACAAUGAGCGCAAGCCUGAUCCAGCCAUGCCGCGUGCGGGAAGAAGGCCUUCGGGUUGUAAACCGCUUUUGUCAGGGAAGAAAUCCUUUGGGUUAAUACCUCGGGGGGAUGACGGUACCUGAAGAAUAAGCACCGGCUAACUACGUGCAAGCAGCCGCCGUAACAC